rnacentral:lncRNA from 1 species
ACGCAUGCGCAAGGCUUGAAUGGCGUCGGGGUUGGAGGGUUGGAAGGUCGGGAAGUGAAGGACUCGCAGGCAUAUUUAACAACGCAAAGUUGCUAGGAGUUGGUACCAGCGUUUGGGAGGUAGAGGUGGCGCUCAUGCAUAUUUGAGACAACAUCUGGAUGGUUGGGGAGAACGGUGAUGCCACACUCAAUCAGAAACUAUGCUACUGCUGAAGAGGUAUAUUGAGCCCUGCCUGGUUAACCUCCAGUGAGGUUAUUAGAGAAUUGGGAGAGGCUCAAAUCAGCAUCCUGCACCUAGUUAUCAAACCAUUGUGAAGUCUUGAUUCCUGGAUGGCCAGAAAACUUGUCAUUGGUCAAGAGCAACAUUAAGAUCUGCCUGUUACUCAUACUGAUGCUUCCUGCCCAGCAAGUUCAUCAGAGGGCGAGGAUGAAUUACGGUUGCCAUGAAUGUCCUUGUGAGGCAGUUGGGAAGCCUUGGCUGGAUUGUGAAGGAUAUUUGAAAAGUAUUUUAGAGUCCACCAGAUCAUCCAUGUGAGUGACCAUGCAGCAAAAGAAGGAGGGUCCUCUCAGUGAUUAAGGAUUAUGAAGUAUUAAUUCUUCCACUGAUAUCUCAAAAGGUGAUCUGGACAAAGGAACAGGUAUCUCAGAUUCCCAGUUCUCAAUCUUCCUUCCUCCUUACAAGAUACAAGCAACCUUCAACCUUCCCAGAGAUGGUCUCUGUAUAUGAAAGACAAUGGUCUUAUUAUGAAGUCGGCAUAUUUAUAGCUUGAUAAAAACUGAAAAAUCUGUAGCCUAUUUUUAAUAGUGAUAUAUAAGGAAAUAACAUAAAUAAAAAUUUGGCAACAAGAAUCCAGGAGCAAAUUUAUGAUCAAUACACAAUUGGGCAAGUGGUGUUCAUACCAACCAUGCAAAAAUGGUUCAAUUUUAGGAAAUCUUUGAAUAUAGCUUUUAGUAGGUCAGAGGAAAUCAGUAUCUCAAAGUACUUUCAUGAUUUAGUUAUUUUUAAGUUAUUGAUCAUUUUGGAUUUUAUUUUGAGGUUGAUAGCCAUAUAAUGAUUUCACAUUUUAUUUUAAAUGGCUAGC